rnacentral:lncRNA from 1 species
AUCCCUCCCAUCCUUUCUCAUUUUCUUGCUCUUUCUGGAAAAGGGAGUCAGCAUUUACUGAAGUUUAUAUUUGUGUAAACUAAAAGUAGAUUUAAAAAAUUUCCUUGAAAUUUAUAGUCUGAUAAGGAGACUUUGUUAUUGGGAGCUUUGUUGAAGUUUUGGACAUAACUUGCUGAAAGCAUCUUACAACAUUUUUCAUGAAGUUAAAGAGGGUCAAAUUGGGACAGGAACAUAAAUAGAGAAUGCUGACAGAGUCCCCGUUUCCUGAAUAAAAAUUGGGUAGCAACAAUCUUCCUGCCUUGCCACAACACCAUUCUUCCUUGAGACUGACUGCUGCCACUAUCUCAGCGUUGGUGUCUGCUGCCAGUGCAGACACACCUGUUUGAGUUUUCUGCAAUGCAUCUGAGAUGGAAACCGUGUAGGCAAGUGCACAUAUGUCUCUUCAUAUGUGGACAGUUGAUUGCUUCCUUGAUAAGGCCUGUUACCUGUCCCUGGGCCUUGCUGUUCUUACCCCAUAUUUUUAACCCAGGCACUCAUGGAUGCAAUCAUUAUCCCUUACUUCCCUUUUGAUAUAGAUUAUGU